rnacentral:lncRNA from 1 species
CCCUGUGUGUGGAAGCCCUGUGAGUGGAAGCCCUGUGUGUGUGGUAGCCCUGUGUGUGGAAGCCCUGUGAGUGGAAGCCCUGUGUGUGUGGAAGCCCUGUCCUUUUGUCAGCAGUCAUCGAAACAUAUUCCAAUCAGCGAUAGGAAAGCAGUCCUAUUAACAUAAUCUCUGAUUCUAGUCACCAUUUCUAAGCCUGUGGCUCAGUUGGUAGAGCAUGGUGUUUGCAACGCCAGCAUGGUGUUUGCAAGGCCAGGGUUGUGGGUUCGAUUCCCACGGGGGGGCCAGUACAACAAAAAAAAAUGCAUGAAAUGUAUGUAUUCACUACUGUAAGUCGCUCUGGACAAGAGCGUCUGCUAAAUGACUAAAAUGUAAAUGUUAGAGGGAACUUGUUUGGUAGUUGAGGGAGAGAGGGGGGUGUAUGUAAGAAGAAGUUAGUAGGGAUUUAUUUGUUUUAUUUAAUUUGACAAAAAUGGUAGAGAAUUAUUAAGCAAACCGUGAUAUUUGAUCGUAUCCUCCAGCGGGUGGCAGUAUGGACCUCAAACGUUUGUUUUGCUGAGCGAUAUUAUACCAGAGAAGAAGAAGUUAGCCAGUUAUUCAGCCCCCUCGGUAGCUUGACGCUGUUAGUGUGACGUAUAAUGUAGUGGACGGAACUCUUCCUUCAACAGCAACAACAGUUCGUCAGCCUCCUCGGUAGCUUGCUAGACAAAAUAGCCGAACCAAUAAAGCUCUUUAGACGCUUCAGUGUAUAUUAGCCACUGUGUUUUAAACCCACUUCUGUCGUCUAGUUAGUUAUCCGAUUUAAUUUCAUAUUUACGGUGUUGUUGUUAUUGGUCAGCUAGCGGGCUGGUUAAGUUAGCAUUAGCCUAGCUAGCUAACAUCUCCGACCAUGAGUUCACUAAGCUACUCUCCUGUUAAAGACGACGAGGAGGAGGAGGAGGUCUGCUGGACGGAGGAAGAGGGUCUGUGGCUGAACGUUGUCGUGAAAGAGGAGAAGGAAGAGGAGGAUGUCACAGUAAAACAAGAAGUAGAGGGUGAGGCUGUUAGAGUGAAAGAAGAAGAGAAAGACGUUUCAGUGAAAGAAGAAGAGAUGGACACAUUCAGAGUGAAAGAAGAGGAAGCAGUUUUUGCAGAGGAAGGGGAGGUAACUGUCACAUCGAAAAAAGAGCAGGAGGAGACAGGAGGUAAGAUUAACACACCAGGAAGUACUCAUCUUAAAAACAGAGGCACAAAAUGCAGUUGUCUAAAUCUCCCCUGUGGAUCCGGAUCAGAACACCACAUGGUACUUACCUAACAUCACAACGGUCUGGUCUAGUUGGUACAGCUCGGUCUGGUCUAGUUGGUACAGCUCGGUCUGGUCUAGUUGGUACAGCUCGGUCUGGUC